rnacentral:lncRNA from 1 species
CCUUUUCUGGUCUCAGUGGGAGAGGAUGCACCCUGCAACUUGAUGUGCCAAGGCAGUUUGGUACACACUGGGGUGAAGAGGGGGUUCCCUUCUUAGAGGUUAAAGGGAGUAUGGAGGGAGGGCAGUAUGAGAGUGGGAAUGGGUGAAGAGGAGGAUGAAAAGUGAAUAAAUAAAUAAAAAAGAAAGAAACCAAAGAACUUCAUGGGGACAUUCAUGUGAUUCUUUGGCUAAGAAUAUGUUUUAUAACUCUGUUCAGAUCCUGAGAAGCUAUGUGAAGUUGAACUGAAAGACACUGAACUAAUUUGUUAAGUAGGCCUGUGAUCAACGUAAAGUGUCAGACCACAAGAGGGCAGACAACAAACCAGGUAUAAUUGUUAAAUUUGACAUUGGAAAAGAUGUCUUGAGUGCAAGACUCCACCCAUCAAAGACUCAGACUUAUAAAUAUGCAAAUUUAUGUAAAAGAGGUAGGGCUGAGCUGAGAUGGCAUCUGGGAGGCAUCCCUGUUCCUCAAAAGUAACCCUUUACUAAUCUUUCUCCAGGCUCAGUACUGAGAAGCUGAUGUAGCUAUGGUCUAAAGAAGCUAAGUUUAAUUCAUGAGCUGACAGCAGAACUUGACAGUGUAGUGCGCUCAGUACUAGGUUUGCGUCCAAAAACAAACAAACAAACAAACAAAUAAAUAAAUAAAAAGUUUAAAAUUGACAAAGUUAUGAAUAGAAGCUGAGACAAGGUAUCAGGGUUGAAGUCCAUAAAAAGAAGCCCUAAGAGGCCACUGAGUAAUUUUCUGAAGGUGAACCCUAAAUUUCAAUGGAGAGUGUAGGAUAUUAGAGAUGUCAGCAGCGUCAUCACAGGGAUGACAUAGAGCUGGUCCAAGAGAGAACCCAAGUGUAUGAUAGGCAGUAGAACUGGCAGGCAGGGUUAACCUACAUCAUUUGUAGCUAAUUUUGUCAAGAGCUUCAGAUGUUAGAAACAAAAUUGCUGGAUUUGGAUUUCCCUUGUUGGAUUUGGUCUUGGUUUGGGCAGAUAAUUUGUUGCAAUGCUCUGAUUUCCCCC